AAAACAGCUUAGGAUAAGGCAAUGGUGGAGCAGCACGAAACGGGAGAAACUACAGGCUUCUCUGUGUGAUUGCCAGCUAGGAGCCUUAGCAGGAAUCCAUUAUCAUCAGUUUUUACUUACAAGAAUGCUUCUGGGACAAAGAUGACCUCUCCAUUAAGAAGUUCCAGGAACCAGUUACUUACAGAAAUGUGGAAGCUGAAGACUGCAUGUCCAGCUGGGCUGGAGCUUCUAUGUACUGUGGAACUGGUAUUUACCUGUGCCUCUGAAUACUGAAACCUCCUUGUCAAGGUAGAAGAAUGAGAAGGACUCUGCGAGAUGUGGCAGAAUGGAGCACAAGGAAGCUCCAGUAGUAUUCAGAGGAAGGAAGGUUGCUGCAGCAAGGAAAUGCUGUGGAAAACUUUUUGUGCUGCUCCACCGCAAUCACGAUCUGAAUUUACUGUCUCCUUUGAAAUGCAUUUGCAAACUGAACAACCUGCAACAGCCCCAUGAAGUAGUUAAGACAGAGCAGAUUGGAAAUAGCCGCUGAUUUUCUGCUGGAAUCAUGCUAGGAUGAUCUCACAAUGAGCCGAAGGCUUUAGCAAGCACACGGUGAGCUACGACAGAGAUGGUUCAAGCUUUUGCUUCACUCUACAGAACUCACGACCUCAAAGAAAAGGCUUGCCUUGCUGAAGCAAAGGGAAAGAACAGAUCGACUUAUCCAGAUUCUCAGUACAUAUCAAUUGUUGUAAAGAACACAGUGGAACCACAAAUAUAUAGAAUACCUGACAACACUGACCCAGAUAUUUCACUUAAAUAGCUGAGGAAAAUUUAAGAGAUGCAUAAAAAUAUCUUCUAGAAAGUUUACGAUAGGUUUUCACUGUUAAAAGUAGACUUUUGCUAUGAGUUAAGUAAUCACAGUCAUGCUAUCCUGAAGUCUGAACACGGAGAGGAUGAUAGACACUGAGGAAACUGUGGUUUUAUUUAUCAUUUGUAUUGUGUGGGAGAGACAGAAACAACAAAAAUAAAGAACUCUGACCUAUUCCUUCAAAGAAAUAUAGGCACUUACCUCUCUGAGGCAGACUUUAGGCAUUUGUUGAAUGAACGGAGCCUUUUACCUGUCACCUUGACUUAGGUGUCAAAGACACGAAGUGUACUCAGGUGUCUAAACCUUUGUCCCUAAUAGAAAAGCUGUCUGAUAUCUCAUUUAUUACAAGUCACUACAUGGGAAGGCUAAUUACUACCAGACACAAAGCUCUGCUUACUGUCUUAUUAGUAUUAUAUCACAGAGACUCUGAGAAAAAGGGAUGAACAUCAAGUUUGUUGAAAGUCAUUGUGCCAGGCUGACAUCAUCCAUUGAGGUGUCUUUUUGGUCUAUACAGAAAUUAUCAAAUACAUGGUGCUUCAAAGUGAUAAUCGCUGCCUGAGAGUUAGUAGCUGUACUGUAUUGCUAAGAGAAGAGUCCUUAUUCCCAAAGAGCAUCCCACUGCUGUGGGACUUUUUCAUAUUCUUAUGCUGAUGCUGGACUCUUUUCCUCUUACUUCAAUUGAAUCCAUGGUCAGAGUUGAAAGUUUGUGCGUAUUCCUUCUUAGUAUCUUGUGCAGAAUUUCGUCUACAAUACCUACAGAGAAGGUCAAAUGGAGAUUCUUACAUCUGACUCAGGGAGGACAGACUGACUCAGCUAUGCAAACAAAAAAAAACCCACCUCUAUUACGGGGUGAAGAGAUUGACCUUUAGACAUAGCAGCGAUAGCAGAAUGGAACAGUCAUAAAGCUAUUAACCAAAGGAGUUUGACAAUCUCAAGUCACAAUGAAAGAAUUUAUUUUAAUCUUUCAUUUUUGAAAUUCAUUGUUGCUGAAAUAAAAUUGGCUUAUGUGGACAAGUUUUAGUUAGGGGUCUACACAAAAUGAAAAAUCCUACAUUAGUCACAGAAUAAGUCCAGAGCUGAUCUGGGGUUGGUUUUCUCCCGGACUUUAUUCUCUGACUAUAAAUAUUAACAGUAAGUCUCGUAAUUAAAGUUUUAUAAUCCUGGGCAGGGUGAUAAGUUAUUACAGGCUUGAAAACAUGAAUUUUCAGCUAAAAUGGAAAAAAAAAACUCUACGCACAGCAACAAAAAUGCCUCAGCAACUGCAUAGCUGGACAUUUAGAGUUAAAUUUAUAAUUUUUUAGUUUUUUUCAGAGUAUCAGUGCUACAUGGUCUGGAGUUUGUUUGCAGUGCAGACACCUGAGUUGGUUCCACAACACUAAAUGCACUGUGCAGUUUUGUCUGGAACCUGCUCCAUAGAAUUUGCUUAAGACCUAAAAACAGUAUGAAAAUGAACAACAAGCAAAGUCUGAAAUUUUUAGUCAUUGCACAGACCUUUACUAGGAAAGUCUUUUGCUGUGAGGAGUCUGCAAUGCAAAUAAACAAGAUAGGAAAUGACAGGCGGAGAUAGCAUUGAGGAAGUGAUUUGACUAAAGUAACAAUGGAUGACUGCAGUAUAGCAUCUGGCUCCCCUUGCUUCAUAAGUUCAAGUUGCAAGUGUUUUGCCCAUUUUACAGACACAUUAUUUGUCCAAACUCAAUUCUGGUAUCUAUUUUAAAAGUCAUAUCAAAACAUGAUGUUGUUAUCAUCCCAAUGAUCUUAAAACAUCUUUAAAUGGUUUACUUUUCAAGUCUUUUCACUUGCCCAGGGAGUAAACCCCGCUGUUUACAGACUCUUGUGUUCCAGACACCAUUGGACUGUCUUUAUUCACUCCACUGGUGAAUGAUUAGAUGAUCAUUUGAAAGAGGCAUGUAUCCUGUCUCCUAGGAAAGCUGUGUUCUCAAAAGUUUGCCACUUGUUCAUUUGAACAUUAUUUUAUUUGCCAGAGUACCAGGGGGCAUGGAAACACUGGAGCUUCCCACUGUAAAACGAGAAACUGUGGAGCUGGCAUGUUGAGCUAAGAAAGCUUGUGUCUUCUUUCUACCAAGGAGCAGUGCAGGGUGCUUUCAGGAAAUGUCCCAACACUCUCAUCAUGGACAGUUAUUUUAGACUAUUCCAUUGUCUACCAGUCCUGAAUCUCACUGUAAUGGCAACUUGAAAGAUCUGUGGUCUGCUACUUAAUAGGACAUUAUCCGAGAUGUUGAUUUCUCUUUUUGCAUUCUUAAUACAAAAUUGGUUUUCAGGAAUAACAGAUGCAGCAAACUUUUUACCUCCUGGGAGCCUGAAACAUAAACUGCCGUUUUGCUGGCUGGCUUCUUGACAAAGAUGAGACGCUGACUGCAAAGGACACGAGUGAUAUCUCAGCAUCGUGAAUUCUGAUCACUGUCACCUCCCUCGUGCAUGGUUACAAUGCAUCCUGGAAAGCCUCUGUCAAUGAACAAUCCAAUAGGUCCAAUGCAAUGAGACUACUUCUGAAUAACUGGCUCAAAUCCAGGACAGAAAUUUUUCAUCCUGAACCUAUAUCCCCUUCUUAGCCUCUUGCCCCUUCUAUGCCUUUAAGCUGCAAAAUCCUUCUGAGGAACUUUUCCUAGAAAAAGAGUGUGCAUUGCCCAACACAUUCAGGCCUUGCUCCUGCUUAAGUCCUCAACAGAGCUCAACAGAGUAUCCAGUACUAUGAAUAUCAUCCUAAUUCAAGGAGAAGCAUUAAAUACUUGUUGGUUUGCUUUUCUGAGUAUUCACAAUCCUUAGGGAAAAAUCUUAGAAAAUAUUGGUUUAAGAAUAUUUUUCCUAAUGCUCAAGCUGGUUAAAGGUGCUGAAGAAUAUUAUGGGCAUGUCUAGAUGAAUGACAGCAGCACUACAGAAUGAAGUACAUUGUCAAAAUCAGUGGAGACCACCAACGAAACACUUGAGGCUCUUAACUGUGAGGAAUAAAAAGCUGGAGGCAUGAUAUUGGAGGCAAGAAGGCUACUAAAGGCAUCCUUGGGGAUGAUCUUUUGUAUUCUCCUAGCAAAUAAAAGAAUUCCAGUGAGAGGAAACAAAAGACCUGAACAGCAGGAAUAUUUUGGGACUGGAGCCAGGGAAAAGAGUCAGUAACAAAGACUGGUAAUUUUGCAUGAAUUGCUGUUUUGUGUUGUUGAGCACCAAGACACAGCUGGUGUACUGGUGAACCUGAGAAUUUGUAUUAACUGUAUUGAAAUGAUAAUGAAGUUUUUAUUUUAUGAUUGCAGAUGUUGGUGGAUUAUUGUUAUUAAGCCUAUUAGUGUAAUAGUAAGAAUAUGAGUUCCUCUUUACUUACAGUCUUAUUUGUUGUAGGUUUGUGAAAUUAAAUUUAGAUAGUUAUUAAAUAAUUUAAAAUAACAUAGAAGGUCAAUUGAGGAAAUAAAAGCCCAGAGACAAAGGUAAAGUAGUUUGACAGAUUCAGACUCUUGAGAAUUUGGAGUGAACUCAAAGCAUUCUUCUGUUACACUCUGGACACGCUCUUAGUGGUUCUAUAUGGUGAUACAAGUACAGCAGAAGAAAUAGAGAGAUCUGGGGUUGGUUUAUGAACCAUUGAAAGAACAAUAGUCCAUUUUACAAAUUGGUUUCUCCCUUUGCCUCAUCUGAAAAAAAAAAAAAAACCCAAACCAUCAAAUAUCUAGUGACUUGGGAUGUCUAGAUUUCUGGCUGCCUAACGUGAAGCAACUCCAAGUUGCUCUGUUUUCAGAGAGGAGGCUCUGUGUUCAAGAUUUCAGUGAACUAGUCUUUGAGUAUCUCAGCUGAACAUCCAACAUAGUAACCUUAGCUGUAAAUAUUAUCUUGCUAUAUGAGAGAUGCAUUUUUCAGUAUAGUGACCAAGUUGUUUCUUUCUUUUAAUAAGAAACUCAUAAAAUGCAUGUGCUAGGUCACUUGACUUGUAUAUGAUUUAAGUGUAUAUUAAAUACAUUAAGACAGUUCACUACUUUUACAAACUUGCAAUCUUUGUGUUAGACAACAGUUAGGGAUUUCCCCACAACAACCCUGUUGUUGCCCCUUCCCAAACUAUCUUUUUUUUGAGGCAGUACUUACUGUGAAGUUGUGCUCACAAAUGCGAAGCUCUAGUUUUUUAAUAUACCUCUCCAGGCUGUGGUAUGCAGCCUUUGGCAGCUAACCAGCCAGCCAGUGACAUGUGGUUGCUUUCCAGAAGAAAGGCAUGCUGCAAAUAGAAAGAGCGCUGCGCUCCCACACGGAAAUCUUGCAUGGGAGACCUCAAAGGUAUUGAAAACAAGGAAAAUCACAAAAGGAUCACUCUGGCCCACUUGCUUGGCUGCAGGUAUCUGGAUAUGGACUGUGGCUGAUUCAGUGCCUGCUGAUGCCCCUGAAGCAUUAGCUAGGGCAAAACUUUUGGACAAUGUGUAAGUGUUAUGAUGAGCCUUUCUCUCUGCUCAUGUGUGUGAUCAGCCAGCUCAGAGACAAAAUCACAAUUUUUCGUAGAGAGUACUAAGUUUUACACCUUUUCUCUGAGCUAUGAGUUAAGCCUCUGCUUUCAAAAGGAGGAAUGAACUGCUGGGUUUGAAUAGCUUGGGAAAGAACUUUUAACUCUUGUCUAUGUGUAUACUUUGAGACAUAUAAACAAAACAUCCACUGAAAGCCUAGUCCUUGGAAAUCAUAAAAUAAAUAUUUUCCACUUCCUCUUAACUAUAGCAAUUCCACAGAUGUUCUUUGCACACCACUCUCAUGCAGAAAAUUCAUAACAAUAAAACUCUAGAAAAACAUCUGCUUAGAAACAAGAUUGGCAAUUUUUAAUGUUCUCACUAUGUUGUUAGCCAUUCCUUCUUACUUUCAUUCACUUUGCAACAAAAAAAGGUCAUCCUAGAAAAAGCGAAAAAGGUCUUUGAGGGGUGAUAGCUGUAAGGUACAGAAAAAGGCUGGUGAAAUUAUGGAACUUUUAUGUGAAUCUCUGUAGUAGCACAGCCAUUUACAUUAUGAGAGACUGUAUAUGUGUGUGCACAGGUGUGUGCAUUUAUAUGGAGAUGCACACACAAACUUACAGCCAUUCCUUAAGAAGUAACAUCACAAUUUUCCUUUUCAAUGCAGUCAAAAUAAAAUAAACAUCAAUCUUCCAGUGCAGCCUAGGCAGUGACAGGGUAAGCUCCCACGUUAUGCUGCCAACAAGCUUCCUGGGCUGAGAAGUCCGUUCCUUUCUUGCCCUCUUGGCUGAGCCUACCUGUAGACACGCCAACAAGCAUUAAGAGUUAUAGUGCUUUCUGUUAUGACAUCUAGCUCAUCAGACUACUAAACCACCUGCUUGAUUUUGAGCACGGGGAAUAUUUCCUUAUUCAGGUACAUUCACAAUUCCUGUAGCUGAACAGGCAUCAGAUUAGUCAGAAAAUUUAACAGGCAGCAUUUACAAUCUCAUUUCACACAGACUACGAAAUGAUGACAGCAAGGAGUCACUGCUUUCCUGGCCUCUGUCUGAACUGCUGCUUUGGAGCCAAGAGGCAAAGUAACAUUUUCUGUAAGUCCUGUGUUCUCUGAUUUUUUUUUAAUGAGUCCAUUUUAAUACCAAAAAAUAAUUGUCUUCAAAAAAUGUGCACAACCUCCAUUCUCCUGAAGUAUAUGACUGUCAAGAGGCAAGUCCGAAAAAGAUUGUAUCAAUUCAUUUUGUUCAUAUGACUCAGAACUGAGAGGCAGUGCAAUGCUCAAAAUUGUUUCACAGCCAACACGGUAGCUUAGAGUUCCCAGACUCGGCAGAAGGUAGAACUGACAAAAAAUUGUGAGAUGAACCGUAAGUGAAAAUGAAGUGAUUCUGUUCACUGCUUAAGGUGAUUCUGUAUUUGUAUCAACAAAAGUCCUGUUGAUUUAGCAUGAUUAUGCUAAUGCAUAAUUUAAUUAAUGGUAGCUUGGAGACAGUUUUGUGAUUUCAGUGCAUAUCAGAGAAUUGAAGUUAGGCCAACAGAAUAUUCAGAUACCAAACAGUUCUGAAACAUCCAUCUAUAUUUGUUCAUUUUGGAUGUCCAGAUAGACAUUUUGGGAAGAUAUGAUGAAUACUUUCAGAAGCUGACCUUAUGUGACUAGAAACAUCAUGUGUUUACCUUAAUUUCAAGUCCUUGCAAAGGUUGUCUGUCGCCCUUUAAAAUUAUACUAAUAAGCUUAAAAAUUAAAAUCCUAUAAACAAAUCAAAAUAAAAGUAUAAGACAUAAGUAUACCCCUAUUUCACUAUUCAGCAGUUUUGUUUAUAGAUGCUAGGACAAGAAUGUGAAUUUUGAGUAGCUAGAAAUACACAGAUAUCUUCACAGAUAUAUAUUCACAGAGAUAUUUCUGCAAGGAGCUCAACCUGCCCGAAUUUUGACUUGGGCACAUGUCCAAUAAUAAUUGAACAAAAGAAGGAACUGCACAAGAAACCACCUCUGAAAGCAGAACUUCCACAAUUUCACACUGAGGCACAUAAAUCCAGAGACCACCCCUUAGUUAUACCUGUACUGAUAGUUCUGCUCUACCUUUAUUGUUAGCAAUUACUUCUCUUCUACCAAGGGCUUCUGUAAGGUUUUCUGAAUGGUUGCUUCUGGCAGGGCUCAGUGCGUAAUUAGCAGUAUUAUCUUCCAUAACAAGGAUGGUGUAUAUCAGACUGUGCAUUAUUAACUACUCUGCUCUAAGAAGACCUGCUGAAACUUUUCAGUUUGAUAUUAGAGCAUUGUCUGAUUUCUACUAAUUACAAUGGAAUAAUUUGUUUGACUAACACUGUAAGAUGUAAUUCUAGAAGUAGUAAUUUUAGCAAACUGUAUUUUCUGAACAAAGUACUUUGGGGAUCAUAAAGUAUUAAGAUAUUUUACUAUUUUUAAUAUGUAAAUAAAAUGAGUUAAGGGUAUCAUCCUGAAUAGAAGUCAAAAUGAAGCUUAUUUUUGAAGGGAUAAAUACUGUAUAUUCAAACACAUGCGUAAGAAUGUUCUAUAUCUGAUAUCACUAACAAAUAUACAGAAGGAAUAUAUAUGUUAAUUAUUUUUUAAGAUCCUUGACUCAUAAUCUUAAGCAAAUACCUACCAGAAAAUUAGUGAGCAACAAUGUCAAUAAUUCCACAAGAAUUGCGAAAGAAAGAGAUUUUCAGGAUAGUUUUAUCCUAAGUUCGAAUGAAAGAAAUAAAACGUUGUUUUAAGAAAUGAACCAGGCAAAACACAUUUUACUAUGGUUUUAAAGAUAUAGGGUUCCUCAGAACAGUGGCCAGCCAGACAAGAUGUUCCAGCACCCUGAGAUGCCAAGAAGGUCUGUAUUGACCCUUCAUCACUUUCUGAAAAGAAAUUUCACACUGGUUAUGAGUUACCCUCUUAGCAAAGGUUUUUCUCAAAAGAAAUACAUUUUAUUGAAAUUUUUCUAUACUGAUAAAUUAGUAUUUUCCAAUAUAAAAGCAUUCCACUUACCUCUGAGCAGUUCAGCAAUGUUUCUUACAAGCCAUUCCACUACAGAGGCAUAAAACCAGCCAAACAGGUGGCCACCACGUCAACAUGGCACCAGACCGACAUUCCUCAGGCUGAGCUUCAGCCAACAGCUUAGCUGAAGUCACUCUGAUGUCUAAUCUGAAAAUCACAUUUAGUUGGAAAAGUACAGAAAGUAAUUUUAUACCCAAAUCUCAAGAACCUGACAAUGCUCUUCAAUUCAUAAUUCCCAAGUUUUUGUAUAAACUUCUUCAUAUCAUCUGUGCUUUGGGAAAUUUUAAUUUCAUUACGGCUCUCCUAUAUGUUUUCUUAUACAAUUUGUAUUUCCUCCAGAGAUGACACCAACAUAGAGCUACUGGAUGUAUGUGAAUUUGUCUUGUUUUCUUUAAGCAGUUUCUGAAGGUUGAGUCUAUUUUGUUGAUAGCAGAUUGAGCAUGUGCAGAUGUUCCCGUCUUACAUGAGUAGCAUUUUUGGAGUGUUAAGUCUAAAUCCAGUUGUGUGAACGAUGCAGAGAACUUGAAAGAAGUUGCAAUUUUUAAUUCACUGGUGGAGAAUCGCUACUGACCUUGAGAGAACUGUAAGGAAAGUGAGUCCAUGGGAAGUCAUUUUUACUUAUGCACCAUGCGUGCUUCUGCUUACACUACUGCAGAAUCCUGUGAGGAAGUCAACACGCACCAACAUUUAAUACACAAUCUGUAAACUAUUAACAUUUAAUUUAGGAUUAUUCAGUAUAAAUUCAUUUUAUAUCAACAGUAAUGAGUGCUUUUUUACAGAUUGUGACAGUAUUUGUUCUUAACAUUACACUGACUGUAGGCUGAUUGACAAUUUCGAACUAUAUUCCAGUAGCCCAAAAUAAUGUACUCCCACUCUCAGCUUGUGCUUGAAUAUUCAAAUCUGCAGCUGUAGGAGUAAAAUAGAAGACAGAGAAGUGGGAAAAAAAUUAAAUCUCACUGAGAUUCCAGGUGUCGGAUGUUUGAUAUUGGCUCACCUCAAUGAACACUCUUUCCUUAGAUAUUUGGACCCUAUUAUAGUCCCCACAGAAAAGUUUCAAAUUUAACAUGCUAGUCUUGCAAAUUCUUGUUUAAUAGCAAUGCAAAUAAAGUGGGCCAAUGAACUACUAAUGUUUCUUACCCAUUUCAGCACUGUUGGAUUAAAUCCUGAACAUGAAUUUCAAAAUUAUUCUUAUAAACACAAAAAUUUUGAUUCUUAAAAUCAGACAACUCUUUGAGGUUGGUUUCUUCAGUAUGAACCUUUAGACCAGAACUGUAUCAGCAAGCUACUUUCUGGAUAUGCCUCUGUACAUCCGAAUGGCUGCAAUCACAAUGUUUAGGCCAUGCUAGCUUGUUAAUAUUCGAAAGCUCUGUAUGUAUGCGCAAGAUGAGUUUAAGGGUCUAUUAUCUCACUUGCAUAAACAAACAACUGCUUGUGAAACAAUUUAGCAUCUGGCUUUACAGCAAGAAUUAAUUAUUGAUGUUUGUUAUUAUAUUACUGCUAUGGAUAAAAAAGGAAAGCCCACUUCAAAAUGAAGAGAGUUCAUCGUAGCAUCUUAACAGUCUUAUACUGUUUUCUUAGCACAGAAGAAUCUGUGAUACUUAACCACUUCUGUUGUUUAAAAUGAAGGCUAUUCAGAAUGAGAAAAGAAAUGUUCUCCCAUCCUCUAUAUCCAAUCAAGGCUGAUAUCUGGAUAAAGGGCUUAAAAGACUUAAAUUUAGUAAGUCAUGCAUUCAGGGCACCAGUCAAAAGCUACAGCCUCUCGCACUGAAAAUUAAGUAACAGACCUUUUUCACAUAUUCAGUCUGUUAGGCUUUGCAGAAGACUGCAGAAAUAGUAUCAAUUGCCUUUAGAGAUUCUGCAGUCUCCAUUGUCUUGCAGCAAGUGUGGAACAUUUGGGUCUUUCCAGUCCUUAGUUAAUCUCCUCUCCAGGCAAUAAAUGCCACUCUGUAAAGAAAGGAUAGGAUUCAGGAAGUAUAGUGAGGUUGCUAUGGUUUGCUUUUCUGCAUUGUUUUAAUCAUGUUACGGAGACUAGAAAGGCAAUGUGAGCCCCAUAAAAAAUAAUUUCCAUCAAUAUAUUUUUUCAUUAUCAUAACGUAUUGCACCUUUAUGAUUAAUCCCUUCAUUGCAAAGAAAAAAUA